AGAGUUUGAUCCUGGCUCAGGAUGAACGCUAGCGGCAGGCCUAAUACAUGCAAGUCGAGCGGCAAGUUGGGUAGUAAUACUUAACCUAGAGCGGCGCACGGGUGCGUAACGCGUAUGCAACCUACCUUUUACUGGGGGAUAGCCCGGAGAAAUCUGGAUUAAUACCCCAUGGUACCUAUUGGUCGAAUGACUGAUAGUUUAAAGAUUUAUCGGUAAGAGAUGGGCAUGCGUCUGAUUAGCUAGUUGGCGGGGUAACGGCCCACCAAGGCGACGAUCAGUAGGGGUUCUGAGAGGAAGGUCCCCCACACUGGCACUGAGAUACGGGCCAGACUCCUACGGGAGGCAGCAGUAGGGAAUAUUGGGCAAUGGUCGCAAGACUGACCCAGCCAUGCCGCGUGCAGGAAGACGGCCCUCUGGGUUGUAAACUGCUUUUAUCUGGGAAGAAAAAGUCCAUGCGUGGAAAAUUGCCGGUACCAGAUGAAUAAGCACCGGCUAACUCCGUGCCAGCAGCCGCGGUAAUACGGAGGGUGCAAGCGUUGUCCGGAUUUAUUGGGUUUAAAGGGUGCGUAGGCGGCUGAAUAAGUCAGCGGUGAAAGACUUCGGCUUAACCGGAGCAGUGCCGUUGAUACUGUUUAGCUUGAGUGUUGGAGGGGUACAUGGAAUUGAUGGUGUAGCGGUGAAAUGCAUAGAUACCAUCAGGAACACCGAUAGCGAAGGCAUUGUACUGGCCAACAACUGACGCUGAGGCACGAAAGUGUGGGGAUCGAACAGGAUUAGAUACCCUGGUAGUCCACACUGUAAACGAUGAUUACUCGCUGUUAUGGUGUAUGCUGUAGCGGCCAAGCGAAAGCGUUAAGUAAUCCACCUGGGGGAGUACGCCGGCAACGGUGAAACUCAAAGGAAUUGACGG
rnacentral:rRNA from 1 species